GCCUGCGCAGGCCGCCCCUCAUGGCGGCUGCCUGGGCACAGUGGUGAGUGGAUCGGGUGGAACUUCAGGCUGCGGCCAGCCGCAGGUGCUGCUGCCCCGUGGUUAAUGUGGCGCCUGGGCCAUGGUCACUGGCUCCCACCCCCACCAUGGACGAGAUCACCUUCAAAAGCGACACCGUGCUGUCAGACGUCCACCUCUACACCCCGAACCAGAGACACCUCAUGGUGCGGCUGAACGGCAUGGGGCAGCCCGUUUUCCUGUCCCAGUUUAAGCUUCUUUGGAACCAAGACUGUGAUGCAGACUCAGGGGCCGAAGGUGGUGAUCACAGAUCACACAGAGCUGAUCCAGCGGAGGUGACUUCUCCCACCGGGUCGCCUCCGGGAAGUGGCUGCAGCAGUGAGGGCGCGGACGCCACCUGCCAGGAGGGGGUAGGAGCUCAGCUGGACGAGGAUGGGGAUUUGGACGUAGUGCGGAGACCUCAGGCCGCCUCUGCCUCCGAGCCCUCGGGGCCUCCGAGAGACAAGGUACAUCCCAUGAUUCUAAGCCAGGAGGAGGACGACGUCCUGGGAGACGAGGCGAGAGAGAGCAGCGCCCGUGAUGUCAUCAAAAUAGAGCACACCAUGGCCACCCCACUGGAGGAUGUUGGCAAGCAGGUGUGGCGGGGCGCCCUGCUCCUGGCGGACUACAUCCUGUUCCGGCAGGACCUCUUCCAGGGGCGCACCGUGCUGGAGCUGGGGGCAGGCACGGGCCUCGCCAGCAUCAUCGCGGCCACCGUGGCGCGGACUGUUUAUUGUACAGACGUCGGUGCCGAUCUCUUGGCCAUGUGCCAGCGAAACAUUGCCCUCAACAGCCACCUGACUGCCACUGGAGGCGGUGUGGUUAAGGUCAAGGAACUGGACUGGCUGAAAGAUGACCUCUGCACGGAUCCCGAGGUCCCCUUCAGCUGGUCGGAAGAGGAUGUCUCCGACCUGUACGGCCACACCACCGUCCUGCUCGCAGCCGAAGUGUUUUACGAUGACGACUUAACAGACGCUGUGUUUAAAACCCUCUCCCGGCUGGCUCACAGGCUGAAGAAUGCCUGCACGGCCGUCCUCUCCGUAGAGAAGAGGUGAGCUCCGCGUGGCCCAGCUGGCGUCCCCGAGAGCCAGACCCUCACCUUCCAGGGGCAUCCUCACCACGCGCUCAGCAGGUGACUGCUGUGAGCCGCGCGCGCCGGGCCCUCACAGGCAUGACCUUACUUCAUCUGCUCGCCAGCCACAGGUGUAGGCACUGCAGCCCCCAUUUUAUAGCUCAGGAGAGGAGGGCUGAGUCAGGGACCCGUCGGGGCCACGGCUGCACAUGCCAGCACCACACGAAGACGUGUGGACGCCACACUCCGCCCAGGGCCCCUGCUCUUCCUGAACAUUCGCUCCAGGACACCGUGUGUCUCUCCACGCCUGAGCCUUGAAGAACGUCCUGAAACCUCAGGGCUCCUAUUGUUGGAGUGACAGUUGCCGUGCUGGGCGUGCUACACACGUUUCCUCUAAUUCUGACAGUCGUCCCCACGCUCUUCUGGAGACAGUUGGGAAUGGGUAGCAAAAGCCAUGAAACCAAACACUGAAUGACCCCACCUCAGCGUCUGGACCUCGCCCUGGGGAGGCCCUGUGGGCCGUGCCCAGAGUCGUCCAGAUGGGUGCAUCCACUGCAGUGCUGUUGAUACCAGUGAUGUCAGGAUGCCCUUGGGGUCCAUGUGACCCACAGCGGCCUGUGGAUGUCUUCACUCGGGAUUGUGGAAAAGGGGACGGGGCAAAGAGCUUGAACCGCAAGUUAAACUGCAUUGUGGACCAGGGUAGCCCCCUGAAGUUGCCCUUCAGAAGCCGCCCUCCCUGGAUUCUCACACCGCAGCCUGCCCGCUGCUCCUCCGCCCAUCAGGGCUCCUGGUCCUCUUUUUCUGCGCACAGUCAUGGGCAGUCCAGGCGCA